CAGGAGGCAGUGGGCGAGCAGG
rnacentral:miRNA from 1 species